rnacentral:lncRNA from 1 species
GUGGGUGGGGUAGAAAGGGAACUCUAUAGGCAGAACUGGUCCCGUAUUCCAACACCAUCGAUAUUUUUGGAAGCCAACUAAGCGUUUUAAAUUGGAAGAUUUCUGUAACGAUUUGGAAGAUCUCUGUAACGUUUUGGAAGAUAUCUGUACCGUUUUGAAAGCUUCGCUAGGCAUACCAAAUUCUAUAAUGUGCACGUUAUUAAUUUUUAGUUUUUGCAAUAAAAUAUUUUUAUUACAGAAACCAUAAAAAUAAAAAUAAUUAUUGCAAAAACAAAAAAUUAAUAACAUGCACAAGCAUAGAAUUUAGCAUGAGCAGCGAUUAUAUUUAAAAAAUGAUAAGUAUGUACGUAAGAACAAUAAUGAAACCAACAAAUGACAGUAAUAAUUAUUAUUUAUAUAAAUUUUGACAUGAAUUCAUUGUUUUCAUAACAUAUAAUGUAAAAUAAUUGUCUUUCUACCUUAGGAAUUAUUAACAUUACCUGAAAACAACUAGGUACAGUUGAGGGAAGAAAAAUAAUUUAUACACUGAAAAAAUGUCUAUUAAUAACUAAAAUAUGAAACAUUCACUUCACUAAUCACUUGGGUACGGGAUAAAAACUUAAUACACAAAUAUAAAAUUGAUAUAAAACGCAUACACAACACAACAAUUACAAAAUGACGCACUCAAUUCAAUACAAGACAACGUUGCCGUAUUUUAUUUAGGAAAUAUAUUGCAUGUUUGGCUAAAAUCUACUAAAUCAAGAAUUGAAACUUUAUUAACUUAUUUGAAUAUAAUUUAGGUUUUUUUAUAAUAAAAACAGCAGCUAACUUAACUGGAAAUAAAUAAGUAUAACGUGAAUGUAAAAAAAACAAACUUUUUUUACAUUUUAACAGGGAAACAAAAUGACCUAGGUACUUAAUUAAUUUUUAUCAGUUUUAUAUUUAAUAUUUUUAUAUAAUAUUUUGUCAUCCAUUGAUUUUAACAUAUGCAUGUCUGGAUCAAAUUUGGUACAAUUCCCAACCUCAUUCUUUGACAAAUAAUCAUGAAAAUACAUUUUUUUCUACAACCGUGUUAAAAAUGCAAUUUUUAGCACUCCAUACGAGCGUUAAAAAUGCUACUUCAAGGAACUAGUACUUUAAAAAUUUUAAGGCACUGCAGUUCGUAUUGACCGUAUAGGCAAUUUGAUGUAAUGUCAAAAAAAUAUAAAAAUGGAAUGUCCGUCAAGUUCAAGUAAAAGUUUUUGUAGAUAUUGUCCUGUAAUUACGUUUGUAGAAAAAAUUUUGUAUGAUAUGCGUGUUAAAAAGUACAUGUUUAAGGCACUCAUGUGAAUUUGCAGAACUCGCUUCGCUCAUUCUGCAAACUUUCACAUGCGUGCCUUAAACGUGUACUUUUAACACUUAUAUCAUAAAUAACUAUUUAUUCAAAAGUUUAUUGCGAUCAUCAGUUGUAAUACGAUUAAAACCGGAAAAAAAUCUUUCUCAUUUUACGUUAAUAGAAACGGGUAAACACAUUAUUUUUGCAAAGUUACAUUUUACAUACAUAUUUUAUUUUCCGUCGUUAGCUUAAUUUUAAUAGCCUCACCGAAUGUCAAAACUCUUCGUUAUAUAAAUAUUACCCGAAACACUACUGCACUGCUGCUUGAAACAAGAAAGUUUGGUAUCAGACUCCAGUUUCAUUUCUCUAAUCUCUAUGUAUUCAUACCUACGUCCUGAAUCUUAUUUUUGGUAAUGACAUUAGGAAAUUGUAACAAAAUGUCAAAUGUAAAUACUAUUAAAGAGUUAAUUUCAUUUUAGUCAUAAUGCAUAGCACAGAAAAUGUUGAUAUACAGUUAUGAGCGCGCUAAUAACCGGCAAAAUAGCUCAAAAGAUGGAAAACAUAAUACAUUGCGAAACAAUAAGAGAUGAAACUAGUGGAGGUGGAAAUUAUCGUUAUAAACGUCUAAAAUACCAUUACAUUACAUAGUUUCCCACCUUUAGACGUAUCAGAGGUAUGACAACUGUCACUGUGAGAGUAGAAUUUUAUAAAAUACUCCUGUCACAGACGUCUACAGGUGGAAAACUAUGUAAUGUAAUGUUAAUUAAUACGUUUAUAACGAUAAUUUCCACCUCCACUAGUUUCAUCUCUUUUUGUUUCGCAAUGUAUUAUGUUUUCCAUCUUUUGAGCUUUUUUGCCGGUUAUUAGCGUGCUCAUCACUGUAUACCAAAAACCUACUAAAAAAUAUUGCCUACUAGAAUUAAAAAAAAAUAUAUCAAAAAUCUAUCCAAAAAGUAGAAAUCUGCUGAAUGUGGCAACGCUGUUACAAAAUAAACACAACUGUCCAACUCAAAAUUCAAUUGUCAAAUAUUCUUCUUCUUUUCAAUUAGCCUUGUACCACAUAUAUUAGCGAUCCACAUUAUGUGUGGCCAUCUCUAAUUCCGGAAGCUCACUAUAUAUAUGGAACCAAUUUUUUCCAUUGAGUUCGCAGGGCAUGGGUAGAAAUAACAUCUCCAAUCUCCAAUGGCCGGUGAUUCUAUCUAGAAGAGAAUUUGUGUUAAAAUUUGGUUUUAUGUGAAUGCUGAAUAUAAGUUAAAAGUUGUGUUUUUUUUUUGGUUUUGGUGAAGUAUAGGAGAGGAGUUUCGUUGCUUUUUACAGCAUCACCGGUCAUUGGAGAAGAAGAUAGAGUCCAAGUAGUCAUUAAUUUAUUCUUUUAAAUGGAAAAAUAAUAAGUUGGGAAUUUUGGGUCAAUUUUGUUGGAUAUGGGCAUGGAAUUUUUGUUGAGUUUCCGGUACUAGGAAGUACAUCCUCGUCGAGACAAGUACCCUCCACCCCUAAGGUUGGGAAAACCUGGAAAAUACUGUACUUGGGUCUCUUCCGAUCAUCACCCUCGAAGGAGGUUGGAUGAGAAACACACCUUCACUUGUGUGGAAGCGACAGGUUUUAUAAAUAGAAUUUGCAUGUCAAUUUAUUUAAUAAUACCUUUAAAUUGUACUCUUUUUGUCAAUAACUGUUAAUAAUAAUUUAUCUUCAUUUUUCUUAAAAAUAUAAUUAACCUAAUGACAUUCAAUAUUUUGAUACAUUAAAUCUUUCCACUGUUUCUAUCAUUUGUUUACAAUAGUUUGAAGGUUGUAAACCAUCUUGUUGUAAGAGUGUUGUGCACAAUAUUCGGGGGUUUAGAACCUUAUUUCAUAACCUAUUUAAAUAAAAUUUAUUUCAUCGGUUAGGCAUUGUCACCUCCGAUCAGAUACGGGAUUGUCAGCCAAUCGUGUAUCCUUCCUUAAUCAUAAGUUGUACACACUGUUGGAUAUAAUUAAUUUCUUACAUAUUUUCAUAUUGUAAAACCUGCGUUAUCGACAGGAGCGUACUAGCCUAGUACGUCCGGUAAGUUAGCUAGUUUGUAUAAAAUUGUAUAUAGGGGUUAUAGGUAUUUUUUUUUCAUUAAAUUUGUUGGUUGUACAUA